rnacentral:rRNA from 1 species
UACAGAGGUCUCAAGCGUUGUUCGGAUUCAUUGGGCGUAAAGGGUGCGCAGGCGGUUGGGUGUGCCAGAUGUGAAAUCCCGAGGCUUAACCUCGGAACUGCGUCUGAAACUACUCGACUAGAGUACUGGAGAGGGUAACGGAAUUCACGGUGUAGCAGUGAAAUGCGUAGAUAUCGUGAGGAACACCAGAGGCGAAGGCGGUUACCUGGACAGUUACUGACGCUCAGGCACGAAAGCAUGGGGAGCAAAAGGG